rnacentral:rRNA from 1 species
UACGGAGGGUGCGAGCGUUGUUCGGAAUUACUGGGCGUAAAGCGCGUGUAGGCGGGAAAGCAAGUUUGAUGUGAAAGCCCCGGGCUUAACCUGGGAAGUGCAUUGGAAACUGCCAUUCUUGAGUGCUGGAGAGGAAGGGGGAAUUCCCGGUGUAGAGGUGAAAUUCGUAGAGAUCGGGAGGAAUACCAGUGGCGAAGGCGCCUCUCUGGACCGCUACUGACGCUGAGACGCGAAAGCGUGGGGAGCAAACAGG